rnacentral:rRNA from 1 species
GAUGAACGCUGACAGAAUGCUUAACACAUGCAAGUCGAUGGGGAAGCGGUGCUUGCGCCGUGGCAACCAUGGCGGACGGGUGAGUAACGCGUAAAAAACUUGCCGGAUGGACCGGGAUAACAGCUGGAAACGGCUGGCAAGACCGGAUACUAUGGGCUGGCCGCAUGGCGGGCCCAUGAAAAGGGAUGCCGUCCGAGAGCUUUGCGUCCUAUUAGCUGGUUGGUAAGGUGACGGCUUACCAAGGCGAUGAUAGGUAGCCGGCCUGAGAGGGUGGACGGCCACAAGGGGACUGAGAUACGGCCCUUACUCCUACGGGAGGCAGCAGUGGGGAAUAUUGGACAAUGGGGGCAACCCUGAUCCAGCAAUUCUGUGUGCACGAAGAAGGUUUUCGGAUCGUAAAGUGCUUUCAGCAGGGAGGAAGGAAGGACUGUACCGCAGAAGAA